ACCAGGUCAGUACCUGGAUGGGAAACUGCCUGGGAAUAUCGGGU
rnacentral:rRNA from 1 species